rnacentral:rRNA from 1 species
GCUUGUCUCAAAGAUUAAGCCAUGCAUGUCUAAGUAUAAGUAUUAUACAGCGAAACUGCGAAUGGCUCAUUAAAACAGUUAUAGUUUACAUGAUAAUCGAAUUUACAUGGAUAACCGUAGUAAUUCUAGAGCUAAUACAUGCGUCAAAACCCGACUCCUGGGAGGGUUGUAUUUAUUAGAUGGAAACCAAUGCGGGGCAACCCGGUAUAUGGUGAUUCAUAAUAACUUUCGGAUCGAUCUUCGGAUCGAUGCAUCAUUCAAGUUUCUGCCCUAUCAGCUUUGGAUGGUAGGGUAUUGGCCUACCAUGGCUUUAACGGGUAACGGAGAAUUAGGGUUCGAUUCCGGAGAGGGAGCCUGAGAAAUGGCUACCACAUCCAAGGAAGGCAGCAGG